rnacentral:misc_RNA from 1 species
GAUGAAGAACGUAGCGAAAUGCGAUAACUAAUGUGAAUUGCAGAAUUCCGUGAAUCAUCGAGUCUUUGAACGCACAUUGCGCCCCCUGGUAUUCCGGGGGGCAUGCCUGUCCGAGCGUCAUUGCUGCCCAUCAAGCACGGCUUGUGUGUUGGGUCCCGUCCCCCUCUCCCGGGGGACGGACCCGAAAGGCAGCGGCGGCACCGCGUCCGGUCCUCGAGCGUAUGGGGCUUUGUCACCCGCUCUUGUAGGCCCGGCCGGCGCUUGCCGUCACCCAACCAUUUUUUUCAGGUUGACCUCGGAUCAGGUAGGGAUACCCGCUGAACUUAAGCAUAUCAAUAAGCGGAGGA